rnacentral:rRNA from 1 species
CAGUCGCCACGGUAAUACGUAGGGUGCAAGCGUUGUCCGGAAUUAUUGGGCGUAAAGAGCUCGUAGGCGGUUUGUCGCGUCUGCUGUGAAAUCCCGAGGCUCAACCUCGGGCUUGCAGUGGGUACGGGCAGACUAGAGUGCGGUAGGGGAGAUUGGAAUUCCUGGUGUAGCGGUGGAAUGCGCAGAUAUCAGGAGGAACACCGAUGGCGAAGGCAGAUCUCUGGGCCGUAACUGACGCUGAGGAGCGAAAGCGUGGGGAGCGAACAGGAUUAGAUACCCGUGUAGUCCCUGUCUCUUAUAC